UGGCUAGUAGUUCAGUGGUAGAACAUCUGACUGUUAAUCAGAGGGUCGCAGGUUCGAAUCCUGCCUAGUCAGCCA
rnacentral:tRNA from 1 species